GCCACCUCGUGCUCCUCCUUGACCACAUCAUAGGACGGGGGGACUCCGGCGUGGGGGCCAGCGAAGAACUGCUGCGAAGUGCGGUUCAUGGUCCCUACACAGAGCGGAUUCCUCCGGCCCCGGGGGUGAUGAGAGCUCAGAUGAUGGGGAUGACUGUGCAGAGUGGGAGUCACUCUCCUGAAGGGGAGCAGCGCUUUCACUAGCAAGGCCUGGAGUGCGGAACAGGGGCCACCGCGCCCGAAGCAGCAGCCCCCAGGUCACCCUGAGUCCAGGCCCCAGGUUGGAUGAACUGCCCCGUCCCGUGUCUGUCUGACAACGAACAAACGAGUCUGGAGCAAGAAAAGGGUCCGAGCUCAGAGACCCCCCUACACACACCUGAGUUGGGGUACUCAGGUUCCCGCUGCUGCGCCCCCCUCCCCGGGAAAGCCAGCACCGCACUUAUCUGUCCAUCGAUGUGUAACUGUUACUCCCUCCCGCCAACUGUGUGAGUCCUCAGAACAAAGGAUGCACCCUCUUGGCUCCUCCCUUUCAAGCCACCAGGCCUCAGGUUACCAAGGCCCUGGCCACCCAGGGAUUUCGCAUGCUCGCCUUCAACCACCAGUAAUUUUACCAGGCUGCUUUGCCCUGAAACUACGCCCUCACCCCUCACACUGGCUAGGCCUGUUCUCUUCCAUGGGCACAGAUCACUAAUAAACUGAUUGCACACCGAUAGCUUUGCUGAUCUAUACAAUUCUUUGUAUGCAUCAGUAAGAAGAACCAGGUCUCUCCUGUCAUCAAAGUGUCCAAGGCCACCCACUUCUGGCAGCACCCAGCAACAGUCAUGACCCCAUGUUGCUGCCCCAGUUUACAUGUAAUCACCAGGUGGGAGCCCUGGUCCCCCUCCUGCCCUCUGAAGCUGACCUGGUUUAACCUCUAAGGGAACUGGCCUACCUGGGCCCUCAGCUGCCAGUGCCCAGUGGCCUGGGUCUUCAGGACAGGGAGGGGCCCGGCCCCUGCAUUCCCAAAGGCCCGCCCACAGAAGGCUUCAGCUCACA